GGGCCUGCGUUUCAUUAGCUAGUUGGUAGGGUAAUGGCCUACCAAGGCAACGAUGAGUAGCUGGUCUGAGAGGAUGAUCAGCCACACUGGAACUGAAACACGGUCCAGACUCCUACGGGAGGCAGCAGUGGGGAAUAUUGCGCAAUGGGCGAAAGCCUGACGCAGCAACGCCGUGUGAGGGAUGAAGGCUUUCGGGUCGUAAACCUCUGUCGGAAGGGAAGAACGGGCAUUGGUCUAAUAGGCCUUUGUUUUGACGGUACCUUUAGAGGAAGCACCGGCUAACUCCGUGCCAGCAGCCGCGGUAAUACGGAGGGUGCAAGCGUUAUUCGGAAUUACUGGGCGUAAAGCGCACGUAGGCGGCUUCGUAAGUCAGGGGUGAAAUCCCACGGCUCAACCGUGGAACUGCCUUUGAAACUGCAAAGCUUGAAUCCUGGAGAGGGUGGCGGAAUUCCUGGUGUAGGAAUGAAAUCCGUAKAUAUCASGAGGAACWCCGGUGGCGAA
rnacentral:rRNA from 1 species